UUUGAAAACCCCUUUUCAGUUUGUCCUCAUUUUAUGAAAUCAAGAACUUGUUUAAAUAGAGUCAUCCUCUCCUCCCUUCCUUCCCUCCCUCCCCCAAAAGAAGUUUCUUAUAAACUAUACUCACAUUUUGUUAUUCCAUAAAGAAAAUGUUCGUUUUUAUGCUUCCUUUUGUGUGACUUGUAUCAUGUGAAAAGUGGAAUAGUCAACAUCUCUAGAAAUAUUAAGCAACUCUGAAGAUGUAAUGCAAUAAACUCUUGUUUCACUUGUGGAUGGCAAGGUAAGCCAUUAUCCAAGGAAUUUCCAUACAAAGUUUAAAUUAUGGAAACCUCAGAAGUUGUUUUGUAUAAUUUCCUUUAGUAUAACUUCUUAAAUUCUAUUUGUGCAUGAAUCUUCUAAUGG
rnacentral:misc_RNA from 1 species